rnacentral:lncRNA from 1 species
CAACUAUGGCCCCUCUGAUUUUUGCUGAUUUUUGCAUAUUUUGUGGUGCAGCCCUCCCGCAAAACCAUGGUAAAGUGGUGCGACGCACCUCUCAAGCAUUCCCGAAAGGAAUGGGUUUGGGGUUUCUACAUUCUUUAUAUGCCGAGUCAUAUCACCCUCUCGCCGAGUGCUGCUGUCGUGGCGUGACGUGUUCGGCGUUUGGUGUGUGAUUGGUGUCUUGAACGGUUGGAAGGAUGCGGAUUUGAGUCGCUACUGGUAAAUUUUUUUUUUAUUCUUAUUGAAGAUGAGGUGGAUUAUUGUGUGAUGUAUUUUAUUAAUGAGAAUUUGUUUUUUUUGUAAUUAUUUUGUUUGCCAUACUCUUUGAACAUUUCU